rnacentral:rRNA from 1 species
UUGGAGGGCAAGUCUGGUGCCAGCGGCCGCGGUAAUUCCAGCUCCAAUAGCGUAUAUUAAAGUUGUUGCAGUUAAAAAGCUCGUAGUUGAAUUUCGAGAUCAGUACGCUGGUCGUGCCUUCGGUAUGCACUGGUGUCACUGGUUUCUCCCUUCUGAAGAACCGCCAUGCCAUUCAGUUGGUGUGGCGGGGAAUCAGGACUGUUACUUUGAAAAAAUUAGAGUGUUUAAAGCAGGCUCGCGCUUGAAUACAUUAGCAUGGAAUAAUGAAAUAGGACGUUUGACCCUAUUUUGUUGGUUUCUAGGAUCGACGUAAUGAUUAAUAGGGAUAGUUGGGGGCAUUAGUAUUCAAUUGUCAGAGGUGAAAUUCUUGGAUUUAUUGAAGACUAACUACUGCGAAAGCAUUUGCCAAGGAUGUUUUCAUUAAUCAAGAACGAAAGUUAGGGGAUCGAAGACGAUCAGAUACCGUCGUAGUCUUAACCAUAAACUAUGCCGACUAGGGAUCGGAUGAUGUUAAUUUUUUAAUGACUCACUCGGCGCCUUACGGGAAACCAAAGUGUUUGGGUUC